GACGAACGCUGGCGGCGUGCUUAACACAUGCAAGUCGAACGGAAAGGCCCUGCUUUUGUGGGGUGCUCGAGUGGCGAACGGGUGAGUAACACGUGAGUAACCUGCCCUUGACUUUGGGAUAACUUCAGGAAAAUGGGGGUAAUAACGGGAUAGAAGUCCUGCUGGCUGGUGGGGGGUUGGAAAUUUCCGGCGGUUGGGGAUGGACUCGCGGCUUAUCAGCUUGUUGGUGGGGUAGUGGCUUACCAAGGCUUUGACGGGUAGCCGGCCUGAGAGGGUGACCGGCCACAUUGGGACUGAGAUACGGCCCAGACUCCUACGGGAGGCAGCAGUGGGGAAUAUUGCACAAUGGGCGGAAGCCUGAUGCAGCAACGCCGCGUGCGGGAUGACGGCCUUCGGGUUGUAAACCGCUUUCGCCUGUGACGAAGCGUGAGUGACGGUAAUGGGUAAAGAAGCACCGGCUAACUACGUG
rnacentral:rRNA from 1 species